UACGUAGGCAGCGAGCGUUGUUCGGAGUUACUGGGCGUAAAGGGUGUGUAGGCGGUUGUUUAAGUUUGGUGUGAAAUCUCCCGGCUCAACUGGGAGGGUGCGCCGAAUACUGAAUGACUAGAGUGCGGGAGAGGAAAGUGGAAUUCCUGGUGUAGCGGUGAAAUGCGUAGAUAUCAGGAGGAACACCGGUGGCGAAGGCGGCAUCCUGGACCAACACUGACGCUGAGGAGCGAAAGCCAGGGGAGCAAACGGG
rnacentral:rRNA from 1 species